AAUGUACUGUGAUGUAAUGCAAUAGCCCAGUUGUUAAUAGUAAACAUUGAACUGCUCACCAAAACAUUGCCACGUUUCCUCACGUGGAUUUGCAUCCAACAUUAUCAUUCUGUAAAUCUAUUGUGGUACAGAAAUCAAACAGUCUGAUCCAUUUCAACUGCGAUAUUUCCUCAAUGAAAUGACCUCAUUCUGGAGGUGUUGUUAACACUGGAGUAAUGUUACUGCUGUAAUUGAUUCCACUGCCCCAGUAGAACCGUGCUCAGUACUGUUAGAGCAGCAGCUGGUAGAAACUUUACUGAAACAGCAGCUACAUUGGACCGGCUGCUACACAGUUUCUUAUGCAUCUGUUACUUUCAUUAGUUUCACUGGUGAGAGUGUGUCUGGGAUCAGUCCUGUUCUGUGUCCCAGCCCUCUGUACUGUAAUGAAGCCACGUCAGGUUGAGAGAACGGGAGUGUAUCUGCCAAGACAGUGAGUGAUUGAGGCUUUGUUAGUGUCCUAGGGAGACACAGGCACAGGGUGUGUGUUACUAGAUAGAGAAAGAGUAUGAAGAGUGUGUGCGUGUUAAGAGGUGUGCGUUAUGAUGCAGCGACAGCAAACAGGGAGUGUGUGUGACCAAAGUAGAGGAAAAGCACAUGGAGAAUGUGUAAAGGAGAGUGAGAGAGUGUGAGGAGCGGCGAUUAGGUGCGCCGGGUUCGGCUGGAGACAGAAAACCCUCUCACCGUCUUCUCGCCCCAGUCUAUGCCGGUAAAGGCACUGUGAUGUUGCACAGAGUUGUCCUCAGCCUCGUUGGCGGUGGGCAAAGGCCCCUACAUCACCAGGCUAGCGCCUGGCUCGCCCGCUCUUGGCUUGGCACACAGGAAUAAUAAAAGUGAGUGGCCCAGGCUGUAGGAUAUGUGAAGGGUGUUAGCAGCUAGCAGACCUCUCCUCCUCAGAGGACCACAGCAGGCAGAGGGGGAGCUCAGGUAUGUAAGAGCCCAUGGCCCCAGACUCACACAGGCUGGUGGUGCUGGUCAAGGGCACAGAGGGGGAAAGGAGAAUUUACUUGUAUUGUUACGCUUCACCAGAUUCCGGUGAGACACCGUGAGGUGAGUUUAGCGCUGAUGGAAUAUCAUAUCUGUUUGUCUUGUUCUUACUUAUUGAAAACCAUCUACUUUACAUUCAGUCACUGUGUUUAUUUGUGUGUUUAUAUGUUUAAUUAUACAAUAAUAUAUCAAAUCACAUUUUAUUGGUCACAUACACGGGUUUAACAGAUGUUAUUGCGGGUGUAGCGAAAUGCUUGUAUAUAUGUAAGAUAUGAAGGUAUGUAUUAGAGCCUCUGUAUUAGCUUCUGAUUCAGGUUUUUGCAUACAAAGGUGACUAAACACCAGCUAAAUGCUACUGAAGUUGGAUGAUGAAUUGGCAAUCGACAAUAUAGUCUGCAAAAUAAUGUUUUUGUAAUAGUGUACAGGUGUAAAUCUUAAUUUGAUCACCCUGUUGCAGGCUUUCCUGCAAUGUUUAUUUAAGGUUUAAAAAGGCUUCUCACAAUUUCUAACUUGAUUGUUCUAUACUAAAAAUGUAUAAACUCCUACAAAAAUGGCCAUUAAUUCUAAUCCACAUAAUAAUUAAAAUGUCCUGUUGGUGCAGGAUUAUUUUCCUGGUGUAGCAAACUGGCUAAAAUUAAGAUCUGACAUCUGUAAGUAAUUUCGUAAAAUUACUUAAAUAUUUCCCUGAAAACACAUGGUAAAAUAGUUGAAUUACUAUUCUCCGACAUACUCAAUGCAUAAAAACCAUAACAAGAUGACAUUAAUCUUCAUGACUCUUGAAUCUUGUAAGUUAUUCCCACAUGCUUUGGCCUUGACUUCUCAUUCAAAACUUCAAAUUUAUGAAAAGCAUCUCUGUGUAAAGAAAGCAUCAAUACAAUAAUCUCACUGCUCAUUGUUUAAUGACCAUAGCAUAUUGGUUUGCUGGAAUUUCACAGAUGACUACAUUCAGAUAUACAGAUGUAGAGGUUAAAGUGUUAAAUGUUACUGAUAAAGGUUCAUACCUCUUCAAUUAGAAGUCAAUAUAUAUCAUUUGCAGCCUUGCUUACUGUGUCAAAUGAUACUGUGCAGUUCAUUUUCAUAAAUUCAAUGAUUAUUUUCUACGUGUUAAUGUUUUAUUUAAAUUAAAGAGAGUGUUACUUGUUGCUUAACAGGUGCAUUGGAAGAGUGAAACAGUUAUUCAAAGAAAAUAAGUUGGCGUGGAAGUAAAUGACUGAUACUUUGCCAGAGUGGUGUGUGCGAGCUUAUUUCCUUUGAAUACAUGUUUUAUUGGAAAAAUAUGCUAUUUCAAAAUCCUUUCAAUAUAAUUUACGUAUAAAUAAUUUGUUCCCAUCUUUUUUGAAAUUCUGAUCAUGGGAAAAUGCUUAACCUUGUUGGCAGACAUUACUUAUUUUAGCUUAAAAAAAAUGUAAAUCACAAUGUUUGAUUGUAGAUGAAGGACUUGCUAUAUGGCAGUUUAUUAUUGCAUCAUUUGUUACAAUUACACGCAGAUGCACCUGAUUUUAAUUCGACAUGUGGUUGACAAAUUUCGACAGAUUCUUUGGAAUAGCCCAAUUUAGGUUUGAAGUGAUUUCUUCUUACCCGGUUGAUAUUCAUUCUUGAUUUGUAAUAUCAGUUGUUAUCUAAUCAAUGCACUUCCAAUGAUGUAUUCAUUCUAUAUUAAUCAUAUAGUACCCCCUUGUAUAUAGCCUCACUAUUGUUAUUUUACUGCUGCCAUUACAUUUUUUGUUUACUUCUAUUUUCAAUUUUUUACUUAUCAAAUUUUUUACCCAACACUUAUUUUUAUUAAAACUUCUUGAAGCAUGGUUGGUUACGAGCUUGUAAGUCAGCAUUUCACUGCAAGGUCUAAACCUGUUGUAUUCGGGGCAUGUGACAAAUACAAUUUGAUUUGAUUUGAAAUGUAAGCUCUUUGUGGUAAAAAGUUCCACCUUUUUCUAUUGAGGUAUGUAUGCAACAUAUUUUGUGACAGUAACUAAUUCAUUGUAUUAUUCAUUGCUAUAGCUACAGAGUUAUUUGUUAUGUAUUGAUAUUCUUUCCAAAGGCCCUUCAUUAUACAUAUAUUGAAAAUGGUAUUGUCAUUAGAAAGACAUUAUAUCUUCUAUUUUCAAUUCAAAUGAAUACUUGACUUUUAUAAUGUUAAGUUGAGCUGUGAACCCAUUUCUAAAAAGAAAACACAUGUGACGAAUAGAACAUAUUUCACAAAUACAAUUUUCUUUAAGAUUGUACAAUAUUCAAGUGUAAAUGUGUACAAAAAAGCCAAUUCUUAAUUCUUAAACAUCACCAUCUCAGAAAUUGAUUUUCUCAUACACAUAAUAAUCACAUUUCAUAUUUGUUUUUCAGAAGAAAAUGGUAUCAUUACAUUAUGAGGUACACCCAAUGAAAUGAAACCAUGCUUGUUUAGUUUCAAUAAUGAAUAUGUAGGUGUAAUCAGUCAGGAGAUAUAGGGUUAAGUCAGCUUCCACUUUUUCACAUUGACACAAUUAAUUUACGUCACCCACUCAAUACAUACGUAAUAAUUGAAAAUGUGUGAAUAAGCAUGUGCUGUUGAAAGGGUCUAUCUAUCAUAUCGUGUAAUAUUAUCCAUGAUAUCCACACUGCGCAUGUCUUCUGUCCACCAUUUUGUGAUCAGAACUUUAUCUAAAUGCUCCCAUUUUAUGAAGUGCCGUGGAACACUUGCAGCUCAGUAACACGGAGGAUCAAUUUGAGGGAAUCUAUUGUUGUGUAUGGUGUAAAUAAAUUCCUUGGCUCAUGAUCAUUGUGAAAUUAAAUGUCAAAGAUACACAUUUGCUAAUCAUACAUAAAACAAAGACUUGAAAUGAAACAAAAUGCCCGGUAUAAAGUUCAAAGGUUUCUUAUAUUUUGUUUCUCAUGGCAAUACUACUAUUAAGUAUUACUGUUUGUAAUUCAGAAUUGAUACUCAGUAAUUCAUUAUAGUGAUUGUAAAAACUUUUUUCAAGCAACGUUGCACCCAUCCCUACCACCGUCUUGUUGUGUGUGUGUGUGUGUGUGUGUGUGUGUGUGUGUGUGUGUGGUGUGUGUGUGUGUGUGUGCGUGCGUGCAUGUGUUAUUCUUACACAUAGACAGAGAGGGAGAGUGGCGGUCGCAGUCAGCUGCCUGAGGUGACGGGCCAGAGGUCAGGGGUGUUAAUAAGACGUGAUGUGUAGACCCUGUGAGUGACGUCCCUCGGGGAUAAUCCCCUAUUCAGCAUUAGUUAAUGUGUUAGUCAUCUUUACCUUCUUAAAGCAAACAGCACUGGGUUCCUCAUUGGGCCUCCCGUAUAACACUUUUGACCCCCGGGUCAUGGCCUUUGUUCCCUGCUCGAUGGGGAGUGCCCUCAGAGGUCAGGUGUAAUAGAGAAGUUGUUUAGACACGUGCCGGGUUGAAGCAAGACCACCUCAUAGACUCACUCGGCCCCUGUUCCUAGAGAGGGAGUCCAAGUCUUUCAUCCCUGUGUACGUAGGGCCAUCCGGCCUUGUGGGUUGGUGCUAUCCUCCUGAUUAGCUUCCUUUAAAACAGGGUCCCUAAUACAUUCAGUCACAGGCCAAUUUUUCCUUGAGUGGAUGGUCAGGUGGGGGGAACAUGUUUACAAAUCAUUUGUAGACUGCAAAUUGACCGCAAUAAUCCCAAACAGACAUAGUAUUUGACAAAAACAGAAUCAUUUCAAACCUUGAUAACAUUGGGAUACGAUCACAUACUGUAUGCCUCUGUUUAUGCGUGGGAAUACUUGGGAACAGAUUUUCUCAAUUAAAAUCACUUUAAGCUGAUGUCCUGGUGAUUUUACAGUCUUUUAUGUCCAACAAUGAAAAUUAUAUAAAUUAUAUAAUUUUUAUUUUGUAUUAUUAUUUUUAUUAUUUUUGAUCAGAAAAAUAAAAUAAAAUCACCCGAAGGCCGAAGUUGGCCCGCAGGCCACCUGUUUUGGAACCCUGCUAUAGAAUAUCAAUUGUUUCUGUCUGAUGUGUCAGCUGUAUGUGCCUGGUAUCCUGAUGCAUUGCAGUUUCUGAUCCUGCACAGUCAGAAAUCUGGCUUGUACUCCUGUUGGUGGUUAAUGGGUAAAGGAGUGUAGAUCAUGUUUGCCUAUGCGGCGCUACUGCCCACUGCAAUUUCAUAUUCCUCAGCCUUCCUUUCCUGGCUGUUUCCUGUGUUUCUAGACACUAAAGACAAGCAAACAGGCUCCUAAACAUGUGUCCUCGACUCUCCUUAUGUGACCUACAUGGAAUACCAAGUGUUAGGUAUGACAGCUUUGAAAAUACAGAGACCUUGUGACUGUUACUCUGUGAUUCCAAAUUAUGUCUAAAAAUGAUGGAGCACAAAACGUUUUAAAGUGAGGCAAAAAAAAGACAUUUCAAUGAGAUAAAUCAGAGAAUGCCAUGAUUAUGCCCCCUGUGCAGAAAAUAAAGACGUAGUGUUGUACAUAGAUCUAUCUUGUCGUUCUUUUGCAAAGAUAAUAUGUUGCAUUUAGUUUGAUCUUCCCUUGACUGACCCUUUUAUUUAGUUCAUUACUCAUAACACAUGAGAAAAGCAAGAAGUGAGAAUCCACAGCCUACAUUUUGCAUGAUCAGGAAUUCUUAUUAUCCCAAAAUAAACAUUUGAUGUAUUACAUAUUUUUUGUUUACCAUGAUAAGAUCCAACAUGCAUACUAACAAAACUUGUAAUUUUCUGAUGGACCAGUUGGAGAAAAUUAUAUUUGCAUGAUCUGUUUUUACCAUAUAUAUUAUACAUAGUGGUUAACAUUGAAUGUAUUUAUUAAUCUGUACAGCAACUACAUAUGAAAUUGUUGGAUACUAUUUUAGUUGUUUUGUCAUAGAUUUUAAGUUAUCUAAGACCACAUAGCAAUUUUCAUAUUGAUUGUGCUUAAUUUUUUCUGUUGAAUUAUAAGUUUGUUAUUCCAAAUACUUCCUUACAAAUGUAUAACCAUCUUGUCAAUUUAAGGGUUAAAAGACAGAAACUAAAUGUGUGAGGAUUUUUCCUGGAGUCAUUGUAGUUCACUUUUGACAAAAUGUGUAGUACGGGAAUACAUUUUAUUAAGCAAGGUUAAGUUUUGAAUGUAUCACAAUACGUUCCAAUUCCGAAUGAAGCCUGCAAAUGACAUGGCAGCGUCCGCCAUUUUAAUGAACAUUUCCUCGAAUAGGACUGAAUGACUGAAUCGGUAUUCACGUGUCGAUAGCUAAGCCACAUUUACUGACGUGUUAGUUAACUUCCGACUCUGAUCAUUCUCUCCUUCACCAUCCACUGUAGUGAGUUAUGUGGAUUUGUAGCAUUUCAAAACCAGGAACAUAGCUUUGACUAACAGGUUGGAUAUUUACUUUAAAUUUUAUUAACCAUUUCAUCUUGUGAUUUUAUCUAAAGAUUCUAAGAGUUAAUGCUGAUUCAGAUACAAAGCAUUCCAUAGCAUAUCGUAAUUAUUAACAAUAGGGUUAAGAAAUCCCUUCAAAUAUACUAAAGAAGGAAUAGUUACAUUUACCUCCCUGUCCUCCCUCUAAGCUUUUUUUCUGCAGUACUAGGACAUGUUUUUUCAAUGGUAUUGUUGUAAAGUUCUUAUACACACCCGUGUAAGAAAGCAUUCCUUAAAAAAUAUCUAAGUUAAAAAAAUAAUAAAACGUGCCAUCUUAAAAUGGCUUAAUUUAUUAUUUGAAAUGUGUUUAAAGAAAGCAUGGUUAAAGUAAUUUAUAAUUCUAAAACACAACUUAAAAUAUAACAAUUACAUAUAUAAUUACAUAUAUAAAUACAUUUUUAAAUAUAAUUCAUUACAGACAAAUGCAACCAGAGUAGAGAAGAGGGGAACGAGGUAGAGGCAUGCAGUCGUAAAAGUUGGCAUCCUCCCAAAACCAAAACCCUAUCCUCAAGUGAACUUCUUGCAAAUGCUGUGCUACGUGCACACUAAGCUAAAUUAUUACUACAGACCGUUCCAAACCAACAACUAAAACAAAUUCAUAGUUCCAUGUCCAUUUUCCCUACUGUCUGUCCUCUACUGAAACUGAGCAGGAUUGUGCAUACAAAAAUACAUAUUCUUAAUAUAUAUCUACAUUAUCCACAAACUGUAUGUUUAUACCUAUAUGUUUCAACGCAAAGACGUGAGUUUUUCAAUUGGUUAAAACACAUGGCGAGAUGUGACGUGAGGCUGCGGUGCUUUGGAUUGGGUUCUAGGGUUUUAGGGUUCUAGCUCAUUCCAAUGCAGACACAUCCAACCCAUUUUGUGUCAUUUUUAAAAAAGAAGACUAGAGAGACUGUUAAUAACGCCCGAACUUGGUUGCACCAUGUCUUCAGUAAGUAAAUACAAACAAUGUUUUUUCCCUCUGCAGGUCCAUUGAAUGUGGCCACCUGUGUCUUAUUGAACCUUGUCAUGAAGAGAGGAGGAGAGGAGAGAGUCCUCGGAGUGAGCUAGCGGAGGAGCCUCCAGUCGGUCCGGUGUUGCUGUGCUGUUCUAACGAGGGAGAGAGAAAAAGCCAGCGAUGAAAGGAACUGGGUGGCUGCGUUAGGAAAAGUACCCCUCACAGACUCACUCCGCAGACAAGACGGGAACCCUGCAGCAGCAGCCAUGUUGGGUAGUUUUGUCUGAGCUAACCUAACAGCAUAAAUGUCCUCCACAAACCAACAGAAGGUUACACAGUAAAAGCAGCAAAAUGAGAGUUUUCCCCACCUUUCCGUUCUGCUAGGCAUGCAGUCCCCUGCUCUCCUCCUUUACUUCUCAUGUGGCAUUAAAGACACAAGGCAUCAAAAUAAGUCCUCAAGAGGAGACAGAGAUUUUACACUUUUCCUUUUUCUGGCUUUCUCUCUUUUUAGACCUUCUGAUACUUCGGGGAGAGAGAGGGGGAGACGCGUGAGCCCAGCCUUUGCCGUUUUUUGUAACCAGAGCCAAAAGAGGCAGGAAGUUGUUUUACAAUAGCCUUACAGUAAUCUGCCACAAGUGGAAAAAGCCAAAUGCUGGUCGCAGAGUGGAGAAGGUGGCGGGAAAGAGAGAGAGAGAAGCGGGGAGAGAGGAAGGGAGAGAAGGAGCAUAAAAAAAACUGAGAUAGGCAGACACGUGAAUCAAAAGAAUAAUCAGUAUGAACUAAGAUGGAGGACUAGUCUGCCAUGUUGUUUUGUAGUCCUGUAGUACAUAAUUGUGUGUGUGUGUGUGUGUGUGUGUGUGUGUGUGUGUGUGUGUGUGUGUGUGUGUGUGUGUGUGUGUGUGUGUGUGUGUGUGUGUGUGUGUGUGUGUGUGUGUGCGCGCAAACAGGAGGGUUUAGGGAGGGUGGAGCGCGUCACGAUGCAGGACUCUAGACGAUUCUAGGGUAAGGGAUACAUUAGACCCAAAUACACUCAACAAUCCUUUCCUUUUGGUUUUAAAUAUGAUAUGUUUUUAGUCAGUACAGCUGUAGUUCCUGGGUUAUUUGGAUAAGCUAUCCUCUGCCUUUAUAUCCAGGACAAAUCAGAACCACUCGUGUUUUCUGUGAAUUCCCAAUCACAUUGUAAUCACGGCAGCUGUUUUUCUUCCAGAACAGAAUGGUUAUCAGGCUUUUGACUCCUUGCCAAAAUAGCUGUAAGGGUCGUGCAAUGUUUAGCCCCUCAGAGUGAUCGAGUCAGGGCAGGAGGAGGAGGGUCUUGCUGUACUCUAACUCUACAAACCCUGCUCCUACCCUGCCACGUGCUACACUACAGUACGCAAGUAUACGCAACUAGCUUAUGUUUUUUGUCUUCUCCAUGCUGCUUCCACGCUAGCUGCUGUGGCAUGCUAAAGAGUUAAUACUCUGUCUUUGAGUUGUGGCUGGCUGCAGAAUGUGAUCUAGAAAGGCUGUUGCAGCUUGAUGACAGAGAGAGCGCUACAGUACUGUAAUGUACUGUACCAGAUAAGGUUAAUCAUUUAACCUGCUAUCAGAACUGUUGCAUAUUUCAAGUUCCUUAUCCACUCUGUGUUUGUCUGUUGAUCUCUUUUCUCUCGCUUUUCUCCCUCUCUUUUCUCUCUCUUUCUCUUUUCUCCCUCUCUUUCCUCUCUCUUUUCUCUCUCCUCUCUUUUCUCUCUUUUCUCUAUCUCUUUGUCUCUCUCUCGUUUAUCUCUCUCUCCUUCUCUCUCUAUUUUCUCUCUUAUUUCUGCUCUUCUCUGUUGAUUGCCGGGGUGUAGCGUGUGCUAGUAUGGCGUGAGUGUGUGCACUGCGUCUGCGCACUGCUGGAGGAGUGGAUUUCUGUGUCAUUCUUCCUCCUCUACCCCCUCCCACCCGUGCCUGCUUUCCGCCCUCCCACUCUCUCUCCCCUCUCUCUCUCUCUUUCCUUCUCGGCCUCCAUCUCCCUUCCUUCAUUCUCUCUCUCUCCCUCUCAAGUGCAAAUACAGUUCCUUGCCGUGUUGGACGUGUGAUCAAGAAGUGUCUGGCUUUCGCGCUCCGCCGCACCUCCUAUUUCAUCAUCACUUGAGCUUUUCUCUCCUUCACUCUGCGCUUGCUAUCUCCUCUCCUCUCCUCUCCUCUCCUCUCCUC
ensembl:lncRNA